CAAGCCCAUCAACCAGAUCCGUCCGUAGCAAAGUUCCCAGCGGCAUCAGCUCCGCCCUGCUUCUCCCCGCAUCCUCCGCGCAGCUCCCUGUCGCCGACCAUCCCACGCGCGUCCCCGAUCGUAGCAAAACUCCGCCGCCCCUCCUCCCUACCGCCGCUGACGCAAAGUCGACCUCCCCUGCCCAUGCUCCCUUCCGGAAACCCGCCUUCUCUUCGGCACAAAGGAGGACUCGACUCCCGCGGGCUACCGAGCUGCCGAGCCGCCUCCUCGGUGAACAUGGAGGUGCUCCACGACACCCUGGUGUUCAUUCCUCCAGCAAUAGUCCCUGCCCUGAACCCGCCUAGCUUGCUCCUAACCAAUCGCCCCGACCACCGCGAGCUCCCCUGGGCACGGCUCCCUCCACGGUGGGCGUGUGUUGGUCAAUGCGUUGGUGGUGCUUGUUUGUAUUCGAGCAAGAACGUGUGGUCUCUAGGAGACGGGUCGUGGUCUAUCAAAGCGGAACAGAUUCUUAACAGUUAUGAAGACUGCAAGUUUUACUGACGUUGUUCUUGUCCCAGUGAUGAAGAUAUGUCUCUGUCCUUAUUCAACAUUUGAAUCAACGUUGUGUGGAUUCUUGUGUCGUUCAGUCGUCUGCCAUGGUUCUUGAGAGUUCCAGCUAGCUGUUAUUUGCUGCACACGUGUUGUUGGUAUGUAGUAAUUCCUGAUAUUUAACAUUGUAUUGAUUGCAUUAGAUAAAUUAACACUGAGAGGUUAAGAAGAUGAAGAUUUGCACGAAGAGGAUGCUAAUGACCAAGGAGAAAACAUUGCCCUUGGACAAGAUGAGCCGUGGGAACUUCUGAAGAAGGACGACACCUACUCGGCAUUUAUGAACUGAAUGUCAUAGACACUGGUACCGAUGACAGUGUAUAUAUGUGUUUCUGAAUCCUUAAUUGUGUACAUGGAGCAUUCAUUAAUUUGAGCAGUUUUUUUCAAUGAGGCCUUCCUUCAGAAUUUUGUAUGCUCUCUUUGCCCGGUUGCGGGGCCAAGCUACCACGUCGAGGACGAGGAGUCGUGCAUCCGCUCCCGCUGUAUGUCUCGAUGUUGAACUCCGGCACCUCCGUUCCAGUCGGAUACGACAGGAUUCGAGCGGUAUAGGAUGAGGAGGUCUGGACUCGCUGACUCCCUUCAUGCUGCACCGUCUUGCAAGGCAUGAAGAGGGCCGGCUACCGGAUUAGAGGAGGGGGGUUUGGGCGACAGUUUGGAGGGAGACGACGUUGAAGGACAGAAGAUGGAGACGACAUGUUUAACAGAUGAAUUGGGGAUUAGUGUACCGCUGCUGGUGCUACUUGGUUUGAGUGGAUACAUUGGGAGAUGCUACUGCUACUUGUGUGUGUUGCUGUUGUGCCUCAUUAUAUGAUGUACCUUGUCAAGCAGGAGGUAUGAAUCAAUUAUGUUUCCCUUCCAGGACCACCCCGUUGUAGCAUCAAUUAUGCUUGGAGCCUCCUUGAUCUGCAAAGUAGUAUUGAAUUUCGUGUGAUUGGUUUGUGUGUGUGCGGGUGAGGAAGUACUUCAUGCCUAAGGUUCUGAACCAAACUCGUCUUGGCUUGGUUCUUGGUGUGUUUUAUGAGAGUUUUUUGUUUUCUAUUUACUAUUUUCUGAUGCUAGCAGAUCAAGUGUGAGGAAGUUAGUAAGUUUUUAGUUUCGGGACCUUGCUUUCCCUUCACUUGUCAUGCUACAGAGUACAUACUAUCAGAUCGGAAAACCAAAACUGAUCAUGGGUGCAUAUGCACCCGGUAUGUAUAAAACAUAUUUCAAAAAGUAAAAAAUUUAGGAAAAAAAUUAGCAUGUAGAGGGACAUGUUCUAUAUGUACACGCAAAGUUUCACGUAAAACUAAUAAUUUUUAUACCCUGUGUAAAAAAGACAAAUAAUGCCUCAAGAAAUAUACUAUUUUAACAUCAAAAAUUUGUCUUUUUAGUACAGGGCACAAAACAUAUCGGUUUUUGCUGAAAUAACUUUGUGAACAUGUAACAUAUCAAGGUAUACACGAGACAUUUUUAUUUGUAUUUUUUUGAUAUUUCGAAAUAUGUUUAAUAUGCAUUUCAAAUAAAGGGUGCAUAUGCACCCGGGUGCAGAAACACC